rnacentral:rRNA from 1 species
CCCGGUGACUUUAGCGAGGGGGCCACACCCGUUCCCAUUCCGAACACGGCAGUUAAGCCCUUCAGCCCCGAUGGUACUUCGCGGUAGACCGCGUGGGAGAGUAGGACGUCGCCGGGG